CAGUUGGUAUGAUUAUGGCAGUUGGGAACAGUCUUGACAGUUAGAGCAGCAGGUACGUUCUGUGGGUGUGCUGCAGAACAUACAGCAGGUAUGUUGCUCUCUGUCUCAGAGUUAGUCAGUCUGCGACAGUAUUUUAUCUCACCUACAAAUCUAGGUAAGAUGUAUUAGCAACAUAAGUUACACCUACCUGCUUUGUGUAUUUAACCUGCAAGUGCAAAUGCAUCGAGUUAAGAGUUAUUUAUUAUUUAAACUUCAAGGAGAGUGUUUUGCGGGUUUUUAUAGGAGGAAAAAGGGAACUAAGUCAAGAGUUGGACUCUCUUCCGCGUAACUCUGUAAAUGGGAGCUAGAGUUUAAUUCCCACAGAAGGAACCCAGUCCAACCCCCUGCAAUGCAAGAAUCUCAACUAAAGCAUCCAUGACAGAUGGCCAUCCAAACUCUGCAUGAAAAGAAACCUCCUGAGGGAGACCGUUCCACGUCAAGCAGCACUUACUGUCAGAAAGUUCUUCCUGAUGUUGAGUCAGAAUCUCCUUUCUUGUAACUUGAAUCCAUCGGUUCAGGACCUAUCCUCAGGAGCAGGAGAAAACAAGCCUGUUCCUUCUUCCAUGUGACACCCCUUAAGUGGUUGGUGAUGUCUAUUUUCAUCCUGAAUAACUAGAACAGGGGUCAGAAAACUUUUUCAGCAGUCCCUCAGACCUUGUGGGGGAGGGGGCGGACUAUAUUUUUUUUGGGGGGGAUGAAUGAAUUCCUAUGCCCCACAAAUAACCCAGAGAUGCAUUUUAAAUAAAAGCACACAUUCUACUCAUGUAAAAACACGCUGAUUCCCAGACCGUCCCUGGGCCGGAUUUAGAAGGCGUUUGGACUGGAUUCAGACCCCGGGCCUUAGUUUGCCUACCCAUGAACUAGAAGAUUGAGCGCCAUACUGUCAGCAACAGAGGGCACCAUGCUGCUUUCUCCAAAACUCAAAAGUCACUCCUGAUGACUGCAGUAUUUCGGGUUGUUAUUUGGCUGUGGAUUCCUUCACAGAUACCAACUGCUACUGCAGCUUUACUAAUCAGCAUCACAUGCCAUGAAGGAUACACAAUACAGUGGUACCUCGGGUUAAGAACUUAAUUCGUUCUGGAGGUCCAUUCUUAACCUGAAGCUGUUCUUAACCUGAAGCACCACUUUAGCUAACGGGGCCUCCUGUUGCUGCUGCGCCGCCGCUGCACAAUUUCUGUUCUCAUCCUGAAGCAAAGUUCUUAACCCGAGGUACUAUUUCUGGGUCAGCGGAGUCUGUAACCUGAAGCGUCUGUAACUUGAAGCAUCUGUAACCCAAGGUACCACUGUAUGUUAUAUUCUACAUUGCUUCCCUAGAACCUACUUGAAAGUCUGGUUACCUCCUUCUGUCUUCGAAUGGAGCCAACGUGAAUAAAAUAUUGGGGGGGGGCCGCGCUCUGCAUAAUCGAUCACAUGACAUGGCGCACACACACCAUUUGAAUGGCAAUGCCAAUCAACUUUGGGGCGCCCUCAAAAAUUUUAUGGACCUCAACCCCUAGAUAUUGACUCCUAUGCUGUCAUCUGAAAGCAAACAGCUGUCACUUGGGGGCAGCAGUUGGAGCUCAUGAGUAGGGGGGAAUCUGCUCUUCCCCUUCAAAUCCGUGCAACAGGGUGAGCUCCCAUUCCUCUGUCCCUGCUCCUGCCAACCUAGCAGUUCGAAAGCACACCAGUGCAAGUAGAUGAAUAGGUACCGCUGCGGUGGGAAGGUAAACGUCAUUUCCGUGUGCUCUGGUUUCCAUCACAGUGUCCCAUUGCACCAGAAGUGGUUUAGUCCUGCUGGCCACAUGACCAGGAAAGCUGUCUGUGGACAAACACUGGCUCCCUUGGCCUGGAAAGUGAGAUAAGCGCAGCAACCCCAUAGUCACCCUUGACUGGACUUAACCAUUUACCUUUUUUUACUCUUCCCCUGCCCCAACCCACCUUGCCUGGUGCCUUCCCUAUGGUCUUUUCGGCAGCAGGUAGAUAGAUACCUGGGCUUUUAAGUUUUGCUUCAAAUGGUUCUAUUUUGUCUUUGUUGUAGGUUUUGUUGUUUUUAGCACAUAUUCUUGAUUUUCAUUUUCAUUAUAUUAAAAAUUAUAUAUAUUAUUUUUUUUGUAAGCUGCCCAGGGAACACUGAUUGCCUGAUGGCUGUAUAGAUGUAUCUGAAUAGGAACAUAAGGAGCUGCCUAAUACUAAGUCGUACCAUAGGUCCAUCUAUCCCAGUAUUGUCCUCACUGACUGGCAGCAGCUCUCCACUGCUGGGCAUUGAGUCUUGGACUUUUUGUACACCAAACAGAUGCUCUACCACUGAACUAAAGCAAUAAGAUGAACCUUGAUAAUUUUAAACUGAAUGGAGAAGCCGUGCUAGACCUGAGAUCAGAUGCACCUCUUUUCCUUUGCAAAAUGCAAUGCUAUUUCCAGACCGACAGGCCUGCAGACGCCUUAAUCCAAAUUUCUUUCCAAAUGGCACGGCGUUGCUUUCUUUAUUUCAAGAUGACCACCUUCCCCUGAUGGGUAACCUCUUUUCUGAAUAGAGUGAAAUCAAAACACUCUCCAGAAAAACAAUCUGUACUUGUCAGAGCUGAGAGCCAAGCAGUUUGAGAUGAAUGCAGUCUCUCUCUCUCCUCUGAAAGCCGCCAGACAGGAAUCCUUUGGGUGUGAGAGGCUUUUCAAUCAAGAUGCAGCCUCUGUCUUGGUGGGACCAAAUUGAUGGCCGAGUGCUCUCUGGGUUCAAAGAUGUUCUUUUCCCGCUUUCUCGCUUUAAACAAACACAUGUCUCAUGGGGAAUGUUUGCACACUUUUGGCUGUUAGCCGUUCCUCUGGGGAAAUGUGCCCUUUCCCACCCCAAGCAAGCAUGGUGUGCAACGAAACCAGGACACAAAUUAAGCAGAAGCUGGUUAAUUAAUCCCAUGACUGAGAUUCCUCUGGCCCUGAGACCUUCCCCCUGUCUGCCAGUAGUAGCUGCAUUCCACCAGUCUAGAUGGCUUUAAAAGGAAGGGUGCGGGCUCUUGUGGUCAGAUCCUGCUUCAGGCACCUGGUUGGCCACUGUGAGAACAGGAUACUGGACUUGAAGGACCACUGGCCUGAUCCAGCAGGCUCUUCUGAUAUGGACAUUGUCAGGCUUCAGGGAAUCAGCUUCCUCCCUCCAUGGCAGUAGAUAAGCAGAACAAAGGAAAAGGAGUCUUCUUACCACUUAGAAACUUUAAUAAUCACAGCAAGAGAACAAAGAACUCGUCUCAUAGAAAUGGCGGUGCUCCCAAUUAAGGAUCCCACCCCCUUCUGUCCCUAUUAAUCUACGUCACUUCCAGGUCUUGUAAUUUGGGCCUGUCCCCUCUGUGCUUUGUGUGCUUUCUGUUCUGCCACUUUCUCAGCUCUUGAAAGACCUACACUGGCUCCCAGUACGUUUCCAAGCACAAUUCAAAGUGUUGGUGUUGACCUUUAAAGCCCUAAACGGCCUCGGUCCAGUAUACCUGAAGGAGCGUCUCCACCCCCAUCGUUCUGCCCGGACACUGAAGUCCAGCACUGAGGGCCUUCUGGCGGUUCCCUCACUGUGAGAAGCCAAGUUACAGGGAACCAGGCAGAGGGCCUUCUUGGUAGUGGUACCCGCCCUGUGGAACACCCUCCCACCAGAUGUCAAAUAGAAAAACAACUACCAGACUUUUAGAAGACAUCUGAAGGCAGCCCUGUUUAGGGAAGCUUUUAAUGUUUAAUGGGUUAUUGUAUUUUAAUAUUCUGUUGGAAGCUGCCCAGAGUGGCUGGGGAAGCCCAGCCAGAUGGGCAGGGUAUAAAUAAUAAAUUAUUAUUAUUAUUAUUGACCUUGGGGAGAGUGGAUGAAUGCUUUCCAUAGACAGUGAAUCUGUUAACCCUCUUUCCUCCAGUGUUUCUUCUCCUAGCUGUUCACCAAACAGUUCUUCCCAACAUCUGCCUUCUGAACUAUGCCCCUCUGCAAACCACUGUUCCAAAUCUAUACUAUCCUCCUGCUCCUGGGAAGAUUCAGGAUAAGGAUCAGGGGGAGGGGGUGGCUCUCACCAUUCCUCCUCAGUGCAGCCCUCCUCAGCACGGUCCCUGACAGACAUAAAGAAAUCUAUAGGUCUCUAAUCCUAAAUCAGCCCCCCUUCUAUUGUUUGAUGGCCUUGGGCUACAGCUGUCACUUGCCCCACUCCUCUGCUACCCAACAGGGAUUUCAUUUGCUUUGUUAAACGUCAGACAUCAUUUUGGUUGUUUUUUUCUCUUUCCCUCCCACGAACAGCACCACCAAUCAACUUGGCCUUAACCAUUGACUAGAGUGUGUGAGGUUGCAGGAAACCCAUAUAAUCAAGUGUGGGCCCAAAUCAGAUCCUUCUUGACUAUAUCCAAGAACAGGCCUUUGGACCUUGCUUGGUCUUGUCUCCUUUCCUCACUACUGAAACCUCUGACACCUCCGUGAGGCCUGAAACAGUACCUCUGAAUGGUCCUUGCCAGAGUGAAACAUUUCUCCUCUAUAGCGAACUCCGCUCUGCACGGUUAUCAAGCAUUGUUCAAGAAGAAAUCUCCACUCCCAUGGAGCACAUUAAAUUACUUCUCAGCCUCGCUUUCCCCAUUUGGUCACAUUUCGCUGCAUCUCACGCUGGGUAGUUCCAUUCGACUUGGACUUGUACAGAACUUCCUUUUGCGACUUGACGGGUGCAGCAGUCCUGUUCAUGAUGAAAUUAAAAGCAUUCAUCCACAAAGACAAGGCUGCUCUCAGCCACUGCCAUUCCUCUAAACUGUAGGAUUAUCCCCACCCACCCAGUUCAUCAUGCCAGAGAAAGGAGAAGGGGAAUUGAAGGAAGGGGAAAAUCUUCUCUUUCGUUGGUGAAGAGUUACUAGCAAUGAAUUAGAUUUAAUGUUAUGCUCUCUGCUUAUCAUGAGCUUCUCACAGCUAUCAUUGUAUUCUUAUGCUGGGCAUCCCGGGAGAGGGCUGGUUAGCCACUGUGAGGACAGAAUGCAGAACUCGGUGGGCCAUUGGCCUGAUCCAACAGAUCUCUUCCUGUGUUCUUAUGAAACAGAGCAUGCAUAAGCAGCAGUUCUACUCAGGGGAGAGAAGCUGUUUGCUCCACUUUCAUAGGGAUGUGCGAACAUAAGAAAAGGCUGCUGGAUCAUGAAAAUAUAUUGGUGAGGAUAACAUGCAAAAAUGCAUGAUAUUAAGAGAAAUUGCAUGCCAAAAUGUGUCAAAACUGCAUGCAAAAAUGUGUUUAUUAGGAGAAAUUUGCACUGUAAUGCUGGAUAAUUUUCAUGGGGAUUUUUAAAUUAUUAUUUUUUUUAGUCACAAACUGCUGCAUAAAUGUGGAGAACUGAUCUUCAGGGGAGGAAAAAGAGAAAUUGAGACAACCGAAGCUGACAAAUCUUUCCAUCCCUAGUAAUGACACUCUCCUCUUGAACGUCAGAAAUAGACGGAGCGGUAUGUUGCUAUCCUUAGUCCCUCCAUCUUCAGUGUUCAGUACUCAGGGGCAGUGCUUUUUUCGGGGGGGGGGACACGGGACACAGGGGUACACAUACCUCUAAACAUUUUGUGAAUCUAACGGGAGAAGAAACUAAAAAAAAAUUUAAAAAUUAGUUUCUUUGCUAGCACGGUAAAUCAUCAGUUCCGUUGCUACCCCCGAUGGCGGCCUCAUUUUCUGUCACAGUGUUUCCUGAGUCUCAGAUGGAAGCGAGUGUUUAACGUGUGAAGUAGGACUUGGAAUCUAGCACCUCCGAUAGUGGCCUCAUUUCCUUUCCCCGUGAUUUUCUUGAGUCAAAAUGAGAGUACCCCUUAAACAUUUUUUUUUAUUAAAAAAAAGCACUGCUCGGGGGUCUGAAAACUGCUUAGGAACAAUAUAUUAACUAUGCCCUUCCCCCAAUAACUUCACCUCACUUCAUUCCACCAGCAUUUAUUAUUUUCUGUGAACCAUUUUGACUCUAAUUAUUGUCCUGAUUGAGUCGGGCUAUGCUGUAUCCAGGGUUUCACAAAUCCUUAGAAAACAGUGAGAGUUUGAGCAACGCAGAAGGCAAGACAGUCAUCGGACAAAAUGCUGCCUGCUUUAUCUGAUGGAGAUCUCCCAGCUGAAAUAGAAGCGCAGGCGAGUACAUUAAGUUGGGAGAUUUGGCAUUCUUUGAUCUCCAUCAGAGGAGAUUACAUCUGGGGCGCAUGUGGGUUGUGAAGGCUUAUUGUUUCCAUGACAAGUGUCAGUUGCCCUCAUCCCAGCCAUUAUUCUUUCACAACAUCAGGCUGCCUGUAAUCCUCCCGCAAAAACAAAACCCAAAGUUUACAGGGCUCCGAAUACUUUUUAUGGUGUGCUCUGGGCCGCUAUGCUCUUUAAAAAAAAAUCACAAACCAAAAUCCAUUUCCUCUGCUGGCAUGGAACACACACGGUUAUUAUGCAUGAGGUCCAGCCUGCAAGUAUGACAUAAAUGAAAUGCGCAUGGUUUUUAUGUGUGGAAAUAAAACACUCUGGAUGAGCCAGGAACCCUUCAGCAAAACAGAGGCCUGAGCAGAGGGAUUAGAUGCCAGUCAAUCAGAAACACUAUUUCCCCUCUCUCUCCGUAUUCCCUCUACACACACACACACACACACACACACACACGGGGUGGGCAGCUGCUGCAUGGUGUCUGAGUCCCUUGUAAUUAGUGUUGAAUUAGCCAGGCAAGGGCCAUAAUGGCCCCCUAACUAUGGGUCGUUAGUGUAAAAACAGAAGCUCUCUGCACCAUAGGGGAAAUCGGCAGCUGGCAAUGACAAAAACAAAAGCCAGAGAGUUGAGUGUGUGUGUGUGUAAUAUACUCGGAGUCGAGAGUGGAUUUCAUGCUCUUUAUUCAGUUCAUAGUGGUGAGGAGGAAUGGAAGUUCCCCCAGAAUGUCUGCUUUAUAUACAUUAUUUACACAAUGGGCCCCACGUGAUUGGCUAAUUCCGGGAUUCACCUGUAGGCCAAUCAGGUUGCGGAUUCACUUCCACCUGGAGCUGGAUUGGGUGGCUCCUGUGGACCAAUCAGACUACUGCAUUCUGGACCCUAUUGUUCUAGGACCAAUCAGACUGCUGCAUUAUGAAUCCUAUUGUUCUAGGACCAAUCAGACUGCUGCAUUCUGAAUCCUAUUGUUCUAGGACCAAUCAGACUGCUGCAUUAUGAAUCCUAUUGUUCUAGGACCAAUCAGACUGCUGCCUUUUGGAUCCUAUUCAACUCAGUACAUAACAGUGUGAGAGAGAGCUGGGCUAGAAUAAGGUUACCAGAUUUUUUUUCAAUGAAUCCGGGGGACAGUUAUUGUUUGCUAUGUACAUGUGAAUGCCGAGAAAUCUGUAAAUCCAGGGACUGUCCCCGGGAAACAGGGACAUCUGGUAACCUUACUCUAUGGGAAAAUAUCAAAGAGUAUGGCUCUUUCUCUUUUUUGCCUUUCCAAAGCAGGUUCUUCAGAGGCAGAAGACCUUCAUGGGAGGGGAAGACAGUUUAUUUCAGAGCUCAGAGAACAAGGAAUGACUCAAGGCGGGGUGUGUGACCAAAAGGUACCCCUGCUGCUUUUGCGGCCGCCACCCAUCUUUUUAAAGUCAGUUUCUUUUAAAGCAGGAAGCAAGCUGUGGAGAUGCUUUUUUUAAAAAAAAGGACUGGUCAACAACUUUUGCACAGGGCACCACAUGGGAAGAAGAAUCUGUUGGUUCAUUUCCAAGGAGAACAAAGGGGCAGAGAGAGGAGAGGAGCCCUGCUUGUGGGCAGCAGCAGCAGAAGGAAUUGAGAGUUUCAUUUGUGGAGAAAGAGAAGCAGAGCCUCUCUGAUUCUCCAGAGCCUAGAAAACAUAGCAGACAAGGCUGCGGCAGAGGUUGCCAACAAGCCAGGGGGGAAAGCAGCCUGACCUGCUCUUGCACAGAUGGUUUAAUAUGCAGAAAUCAAUGUAAUAGUGCUCGUUUGAUUAUUUUUCUUUUAAAAAAAAAAUUAUUAGGAAUUUAAACAUAUUAUCUUAAAGCAUUUCAUCCUUCAUUUCCACCCCAUUUCCACCCUCCCUCCCAUAAAAUAACCCCCGCCCCACCCCGCCCGCCCCGGACUUCCUUCAGUUCCAAUCUCUGGUUUCUCUAUAGAUGCUAUUCUCUGCAUGUUACAAGAUUGUACAGUGGUGCCCCGCAAGACGAAUGCCUCGCAUGACGGAAAACCCGCUAGACGAAAGGGUUUUCCAUUUUUCAAUGCGCUUUGCAGGACGAAUUUCCCUAUGGGCUUGCUUCGCAAGAUGAAAAUGUCUUGCGAGUCUUGAGAUUUUUUUCGCUCCCCCCCUUU